CCCUGCUGAGAAUUACCGCCCUGGCAGACCUUCUGAAUUCACCAGCUAAGCCUCUCUCAUCUCUCCCUGCAGGUGUCCUACCAGGAAAGGGCCAUUUUCCUGCUCUGAAGUGACACCGCAGAUUCAGAACCGGCCUGUGUUGGGCAUUUUAUCCUCGUUGACUCCACUUAAUCCAGCCAUCCUGUCGACAUUAUCCCCACCUAAAGAUGAGGAGACUGAGGCCGGGGGUGGUCAGCCCCUGUGGGCAGAACCAGGGCAGCAUCUUAACCGGCCAAGACGCUCUGUCCUUCACCAGUGAAACACUCACGGGCGACUGCAAUUAAACUGGCUUGUAAUUCCCCGUCUCCCAAACGAACCCUCCCUUCAUGAGGAUGCGCUGGUAGGCAUCGGGCAUUAAUACAAAUGAGGCCGUGCAGCUAUGUGUAAUUAAAGGGGAAGAUGGGUACCUCGCU